ACCUACUAGCUUGCACCGUUCGGGUUUUAAGUUCUUCAUCCAGAUCGUUAGCAACGUUGACAGUGGAACCAAGAUAUUUGAAAGAUUGGACAACCUCAAAAUUGUACUCAUUCAUGGUCAUGUUUUGUCCAAUUCUGGAUCCCUGACUCCUAUCUAGUACGAGGUAUUUGGUUUUAUAGUCAUGUAUCAUCA